AGGCUUUACUAAACCGUACUGAAAACCGACACAGGUGGUCAGGUAGAGAAUACUCAGGCGCUUGAGAGAACUCGGGUGAAGGAACUAGGCAAAAUAGCACCGUAACUUCGGGAGAAGGUGCGCUUACAGUAAUUGUAGUCCCUUACGGAUGAAGGUGAAGUAAGUCGAAGUGACCCGCUGGCUGCAACUGUUUAUUAAAAACACAGCACUCUGCAAACACGAAAGUGGACGUAUAGGGUGUGAUGCCUGCCCGGUGCUGGAAGGUUAAUUGAUGGUGUAAUCGCAAGAGAAGCACCUGAUCGAAGCCCCAGUAAACGGCGGCCGUAACUAUAACGGUCCUAAGGUAGCGAAAUUCCUUGUCGGGUAAGUUCCGACCUGCACGAAUGGCAUAAUGAUGGCCAGGCUGUCUCCACCCGAGACUCAGUGAAAUUGAAAUCGCCGUGAAGAUGCGGUGUACCCGCGGCUAGACGGAAAGACCCCGUGAACCUUUACUAUAGCUUGACACUGAACAUUGAAUUUUGAUGUGUAGGAUAGGUGGGAGACUUAGAAGUAGUCACGCCAGUGAUUAUGGAGUCGACCUUGAAAUACCACCCUUUAACGUUUGAUGUUCUAACGAAGAUGACGAAACGUGGUCUCGGACAGUGUCUGGUGGGUAGUUUGACUGGGGCGGUCUCCUCCCAAAGCGUAACGGAGGAGCACGAAGGUUUGCUAAUCACGGUCGGACAUCGUGAGGUUAGUGCAAUGGUAUAAGCAAGCUUAACUGCGAGACAGACAAGUCGAGCAGGUACGAAAGUAGGUCAUAGUGAUCCGGUGGUUCUGAAUGGAAGGGCCAUCGCUCAACGGAUAAAAGGUACUCCGGGGAUAACAGGCUGAUACCGCCCAAGAGUUCAUAUCGACGGCGGUGUUUGGCACCUCGAUGUCGGCUCAUCACAUCCUGGGGCUGAAGUAGGUCCCAAGGGUAUGGCUGUUCGCCAUUUAAAGUGGUACGCGAGCUGGGUUUAGAACGUCGUGAGACAGUUCGGUCCCUAUCUGCCGUGGGCGUAGGAGAAUUGGUUGGGGCUGCUCCUAGUACGAGAGGACCGGAGUGGACGCACCACUGGUGUUCCGGUUGUGUCGCCAGACGCAUUGCCGGGUAGCUAAGUGCGGAAGAGAUAAGUGCUGAAAGCAUCUAAGCACGAAACUUGCCAAGAGAUGAGUUCUCCCAAUCUAAGAGAUAGUAAGGGUUGUUGUAGACUACGACGUAGAUAGGUCUGGUGUGUAAGUGUAGUGAUACAUUGAGCUAACAGAUACUAAUUGCCCGAGAGGCUUAACUAU
rnacentral:rRNA from 1 species